AUGGAGGGUUGGGGGUUGGGGAGAGCAUGCAACAAGGAAAUAGCUCUGGAAUCCAGAACAUCUGGCUUCUAUUCAGACCCAAUCACCAACCUUGGGAGCAUAUUGAAAACAUUUGGCUGUCUCAACAGUCUAAAAGAAGCUAUUUAUUUCAGACUCAACAACCAGCCCAACCAUAUGCUUCCAUUUGGAAACAAUUGGAGCUUGGGUCUCAACUUGUCCAUGACACCAGCGGACCUGUUGACUGACCAUGUGCCCCUGAACCAGCUCACGCCUCAGCUAGACAGUUUCAGAGUCUCCUACGAGGUAACCAAUCAAGCUUUCUGGAAGGACUUUUAGUGUCACGAAAGUGUCGCUGGAGUCCACUAUGACUUUCAGCUAAGUGGAAAAAGCAAAAUAAGAAAGUAUUUCUCCAUCUUAAUUUAACUAGAUGCUGGCUCCUCUGGGAGGCCUUUUCUGAAUGUUCCUCUUCCCCUGCAGUGCCCUCCCAGUCUGUGUUAGAUGCCACUCCUAUGUCCUCCGUGGUGCUUUUCACUCUCCUCCAAGGCAGCAUUUAGUGGGUAUUGUAAUUGUGUACACAUUUAUCUACCACUGUUUCUAAUUUGUGAAACAGGUAUUCUCUCUUUUACUGCUAAGUCCAUGGUACCUGCUGUAAUGUCUUUAACAUGAUAAGUAUUCAGUAAUGAAUGAACUAGGUAAAAAAUGUAUCUGUAAAGACAGAGUCAUAAUAGGACAUAGAAAAAUGAAAAGUUCCAUACAAUGCUGAUAUUAAGUGAUUUUGUUUUCUUUUUGUGAUUUGAAAUAUUAUUUAUGUUGUUCCAAAUAAAAAUAAGAUACACUUCUAAAAAAUUUUUUAAAUUAAACUUUUAUUUUAAGUUCAGGGGUACAUGUGCAGAUUUGUUACAUAGGUAAACUUGUGUCAUGGGGGUUUGUUGUACAGAUUAUUUCAUCACCCAGGUAUCAAGCCCAGUACUCAUUAGUUAUUUUUCCUGAUCCCUCCACCCUCUACCCUCUUAUAGGCCCCAGUGUGUUGUUCCCCUCUGUGUGUCCAUGUGGUCAUGUGUUCUCAUCAUUAGCUCCCAUUUAUAAGUGAGAACAUGUGGUAUUUGGUUUUCUGUUCCUGUGUUAGUUUGCUAAGGAUUGUAGCCUCCAGCUCUAUCCAUAUUCCCACAAAAGACAUGAUCUCAUUCUUUUUAUUGGCUGCAAAGUAUUCCAUGGUGUGUAUGUACCACGUCUUCUUUAUCCAGUCUACCAUUGAUGGGCAUUUAGGUUGAUUCCAUGUAUUUGCUGUUGUGAAUAGUGCUUCAGUGAACAUAUGUGUGCAUGUGUCUGUAUUGUAGAAUGAUUUAUAUUCCUCCGAGUAUAUACCCAUUAAUGGGAUUGUUAAGUUGUAUGGUAUUUAUCUUUUUAGAUCUUUGAGGAAUUACCACACCAUCUUCCACAUGGUUGAACUAAUUUACAGUCCCACCAACAGUAUAUAAGCAUUACUUUUCCUCAGCAACCUCACCAGAAUCUGGUUUUUUUUGUUUUUUGUUUUUUGUUUUUACUUUAAUAAUAGCCAUUCUGACUGGCAUGAGAUGGUAUCUCACUGUGGUUUUGAUUUACACUUCUCUAAUGGUCAGUGAUGUGGAUCUUUUUUUCAUAUUAUUGUUGACCAUAUGUAUGGCUUCUUUUGAAAAGUGUCUGAUCGUGUUCUUCGUCUACUGUUUAGUGGGGUUGUUUGCAUUUUUCUUGUAUAUUUGUUUUAAGUUCCUUAAAGAUGAUAGCUAUUAGAUCUUUGUCAGAUGCAUAGUUUGCAAAAAUUUUCUCCCAUUCUGUAGGUUGUCUGUUCACUCUGUUGAUAGUUUCAUUUGCUGUGCAGAAGCUCUUUAAUUUAAUUAGAUCCCAUUUGUCAAUUUUUGCUUUUGUUGCAAUUGCUUUUUGCAUCUUCAUCAUGAAAUCUUUGCCUGUUCCUAGUCCAGAAUGGUAUUGCCUAAGUCAUUUUCCAGGGUUUUUAUAUUUAAGUCUUUAAUCUAUCUUUCGUUAAUUUUUGUAUAUGGUGUAAGGAAAGGGUCUGGUUUCAGUCUUCCACAUAUGACUAGCCAGUUAUCACAGCAUCAUUUAUUGAAUAGGGAGUCCUUUCCCCAUUGCUUCUUUUUGUCAUAUUUGUUGAAGAUGUGCAGCCUUACUUCUGGGCUCUCUAGUCUGUUCCAUUGGUCUAUGUGUCUGUUUUUGUAUUAGUACCAUGCUGUUUUGGUUACUGUAGCCCUGUAGUAUAGUUUGAAGCUGGGUACCAUGAUGCCUCCAGCUUUAUUCUUUUGGCUUGGAAUUGCCUUGGCUAUUGGGCUCUUUUUCGAUUCCAUAUAGAUUUUAAAAUAGUUUUCUCUAGUUCUGUAAAGAAUGUCAUUGGUAGUUUGAUAGGAUUAACAUUGAAUCUAUAAAUUGCUUUGAAUAGUAUAGCCAUUUUAAUGAUAUUGAUUCUUCCUAUCCAUGAGCAUGGAAUGUUUUUCCAUUUGUUUGUGUCCUCUCUGAUUUCUUUGAGCAAGGUUUUGUAGUUCUCCUUACAAAGAUCUUUAACCUCCCUGGUUAGCUGAUUCCUAGGUAUUUUAUUUUAUUUUAUUUUCAUAGCAACUGUGAAUGGGAUUUUGUUCCUGAUUUGGCUCUCAUCUUGACUAUUGUUGGUGUAUAGGAGUACUAGAGAUUUUAGCACAUUGAUUUUGUAUCCUAAGACUUUGCUAAAGUUGUUUACCAGUGUAAGGAGCUUUUGGGCAAAUAACCUGUUCCUGAAUGACUUUGGGUAAAUAAUCAUAUUAAGGCAGAAAUCAAGAAGUUCUUUGAAAUUAAUGAGAACGAAGAAACAACAUACCAGAAUCUCUGGGACACAGCUAAGGCAGUGUUACGAGAAAAGUUUACAGCACUAAAUGUCCACAUAAAAAAGUUAGAAAGAUCUCAAUUUAACCACGUAAUAACACAACUAAAAGAAUGAGAGAACCAAGAUCAAACCAGUCUCAAAGCAAGAAGAAGACAAGAAAUAACCAAAAUCGCAGCUGAACUGAGGAGAUUGAGACACGAAAAACCAUGCAGAAGAUCAAUGAAUCAAGGAGCUAGUUUUUUGAAAAAAAAUAAUAAAAUACAUAGACCACUAACUAGACUAGCAAAAAUUUUUAUAAUGUAAGAAUAACACUGACACCUGGCAACAGAUAUAAAACAAAGCUAAAGAAGAUUAAAUUUUAUAAUUCUUCUCUAGCAAGGGCUCCUUCCAAAGCCCUGGCCCAAAAUUUAUACUAGUAAUUCACUGUUCUUUUUCUUGGAGUGCCCCCCAAAUUAUAGAAGCAUCAGGCUUCUUAAAACCUAGGUCAGGCCGGGCACAGUGGCUCAUGCCUGUGAUCUUGGCACUUUGGGAGGCCAAGGCAGAUCACCUGAGGUCAGGAUUUCAAGACCAGCCUGGCCAACAUAGUGAAACCCUGUCUCUACUAAAAAUACAAAAUUUAGCCAGGUUUGGUGGCACAUGCCUGUAGUCCCGGCUGCUUGGGAGACUGAGGCAGGAAAACCACUUGAACCUGGGAGAUGGAGGUUGCAGUGAGUCGAGAUCACACCACUGCACUCAAGCCUGGGCGACAGACUGAGACUCCAUCUCAAAACAAACAAACAAAACCUAGGUCCACCUCUCCUAAAAUCAAAACCCAAUAAAAAUAGCACAAAAAUAAGAAAACCACAGUAUGAU
rnacentral:lncRNA from 1 species